rnacentral:rRNA from 1 species
GAUGAACGCUGGCGGCGUGCCUAAUACAUGCAAGUCGAGCGGUAAGGCCCUUCGGGGUACACGAGCGGCGGACGGCUGAGUAACACGUAGGAACGUACCCCAAACUGAGGGAUAAGCACCAGAAAUGGUGUCUAAUACCGCAUGUGAUCUUCGGAUUAAAGCUUCGGCGGUUUGGGAACGGCCUGCGCAUGAUUAGCUUGUUGGUGAGGUAAUUGCUCACCAAGGCGACGAUCAUUAGCUGGUCUGAGAGGAUGACCAGCCAGACUGGAACUGAGAACGGUCCAGACUCCUACGGGAGGCAGCAGUAGGGAAUUUUCCACAAUGGGCGAAAGCCUGAUGGAGCAACGCCGCGUGCAGGAUGAAUGUCUUCGGAUUGUAAACUGCUUUUAUAUGUGACGAUAAUGACGGUAGCAUAUGAAUAAGGAUCGGCUAACUCCGUG